GUAGGUGGCAAGCGUUGUCCGGAAUUAUUGGGCGUAAAGCGCGCGCAGGCGGUUCUUUAAGUCUGAUGUGAAAGCCCACGGGCUCAACCGUGGAGGGUCAUUGGAAACUGGAGAACUUGAGUACAGAAGAGGAAAGCGGAGUUCCACGUGUAGCGGUGAAAUGCGUAGAGAUGUGGAGGAACACCAGUGGCGAAGGCGGCUUUCUGGUCUGUAACUGACGCUGAGGCGCGAAAGCGUGGGGAGCAAACAGGAUUAGAUACCCUGGUAGUCCACGCCGUAAACGAUGAGUGCUAAGUGUUAGGGGGUUUCCGCCCCUUAGUGCUGCAGCUAACGCAUUAAGCACUCCGCCUGGGGAGUACGGCCGCAAAGGCUG
rnacentral:rRNA from 1 species